rnacentral:rRNA from 1 species
CAGCCGCCGCGGGAAAACGGAGGGGGCUAGCGUUGUUCGGAAUUACUGGGCGUAAAGCGUACGUAGGCGGCUUUGUAAGUUAGAGGUGAAAGCCUGGUGCUCAACACCAGAACUGCCUUUAAGACUGCAUCGCUUGAACGUCGGAGAGGUGAGUGGAAUUCCGAGUGUAGAGGUGAAAUUCGUAGAUAUUCGGAAGAACACCAGUGGCGAAGGCGGCUCACUGGACGACUGUUGACGCUGAGGUACGAAAGCGUGGGGAGCAAACAGGAUUAGAUACCCCGGUAGUCCCUGUCUCUUAUAC